UACAGAGGUCUCAAGCGUUGUUCGGAUUCAUUGGGCGUAAAGGGUGCGUAGGCGGCGCGGUAAGUCGGGUGUGAAAUCUCCACGCUCAACGUGGAGGGGCCACCCGAUACUGCCAUGACUCGAGUCCGGUAGGGGAGUGUGGAAUUCCCGGUGUAGCGGUGAAAUGCGCAGAUAUCGGGAGGAACACCCGUAGCGAAGGCGGCACUCUGGGCCGGUACUGACGCUGAGGAGCGAAAGCGUGGGUAGCAAACAGG
rnacentral:rRNA from 1 species